rnacentral:rRNA from 1 species
GACGAUGGUUAGCUGGUCUGAGAGGAUGAUCAGCCACACUGGAACUGACACACGGUCCAGACUCCUACGGGAGGCAGCAGUGAGGAAUUUUGCGCAAUGGGGGAAACCCUGACGCAGCAACGCCGCGUGAGUGAUGAAGGCUUUCGGGUCGUAAAGCUCUGUCAAGUGGGAAGAAACCACGAGGUGAUAAUAUCGCUUUGUGCUGACGGUACCACUGAAGGAAGCACAGGCUAACUCCGUGCCAGCAGCUGCGGUAAUACGGGGGGUGCAAGCGUUAUUCGGAAUCAUUGGGCGUAAAGGGCACGUAGGCGGUUUGUUAAGUCAGAUGUGAAAGCCCGGGGCUCAACCCCGGAAGUGCAUUUGAUACUGGCGGACUUGAGUAUGGGAGAGGGAAGUGGAAUUCCUGGUGUAGAGGUGAAAUUCGUAGAUAUCAGGAGGAACACCGGUGCGAAGGCGACUUCCUGGACCAAUACUGACGCUGAGGCGCGAAGGCGUGGGUAGCAAACAGGAUUAGAUACCCUGGUAGUCCACGCAGUAAACGGUGAUCACUAGGUGUAGCGGGUAUUGACCCCUGCUGUGCCGCAGUUAACGCAUUAAGUGAUCCGCCUGGGGAGUACGGCCGCAAGGUUAAAACUCAAAGGAAUUGACGGGGGCCCGCACAAGCGGUGGAGCAUGUGGUUUAAUUCGACGCAACGCGAAGAACCUUACCUGGGUUUGACAUCUCGGGGAUUUUUUGGAAACAAGAAAGUGCCCUUCGGGGAGCCCGAAGACAGGUGCUGCAUGGCUGUCGUCAGCUCGUGUCGUGAGAUGUUGGGUUAAGUCCCGCAACGAGCGCAACCCUUAUCUUUAGUUACCAUCACUUCGGGUGGGGACUCUAAAGAUACUGCCCCGGUCAACGGGGAGGAAGGUGGGGAUGACGUCAAGUCCUCAUGGCCUUUAUGCCCAGGGCUACACACGUGCUACAAUGGGCGAUACAAAGGGUAGCGAGCCUGCGAAGGUGAGCCAAUCCCAAAAAGUCGUUCUUAGUUCGGAUUGGAGUCUGCAACUCGACUCCAUGAAGCUGGAAUCGCUAGUAAUCGCGGAUCAGCACGCCGCGGUGAAUACGUUCCCGGGCCUUGUACACACCGCCCGUCACACCAUGAGAGUUGGUUGUACCAGAAGUUGUUGGGCUAACCCGCAAGGGAGGCAGGCACCUAAGGUAUGGCUGAUGAUUGGGGUGAAGUCGUAACAAGGUA